CCGCCGCGGCGGGGCUGUCCGCGCUGCUGCCUGUCGGGAGCUGCGCCGCGCCGCUCGCCUUCGUCGGCUCUGGGAUGGGAUCUGCCCGGGGAUCUGAUCGAUGUCUGCUCUGGGAUCUGCGCGGGAUUUGCCCGCGGCUCUGCCCGAGGAUCUGUUCCGAAUUUGCCGGAGGAUCUGCCUGGGAUCUGCCCGUGGAUGUGGCCGGGAUCUGUCGGGGAUCCCCCCGGGGAUCUGCCCGGGCUGGGCUGCGCUAACGGCUCCGACCCUGUGAAGACUCUUCCCCUCACCGUGUGUCCAAGUUAGCUGAGGUUACGCAACUUGUAAACUACUAAUCAAUCCCGAUAGAUGGGCAAUACUUGGAAAAUUACCAGCUCUGAACUUCUGAGUACAAAUAACGGUGUGAAAAGCUC